CCUACGGGGGGCAGCAGUGGGGAAUAUUGCGCAAUGGGCGAAAGCCUGACGCAGCGACGCCGCGUGAGGGAUGAAGGUCUUCGGAUCGUAAACCUCUGUCAGCAGGGAAGAACGGGAACUGUGCUAAUCAGCAGUGAAUUGACGGUACCUGCAAAGGAAGCACCGGCUAACUCCGUGCCAGCAGCCGCGGUAAUACGGAGGGUGCGAGCGUUAAUCGGAAUUACUGGGCGUAAAGCUCUCGUAGGCGGGAUGUCAAGUCAAGGGUGAAAUCCCCGCGCCAAAAGUGGGAACUGACUUUGAAACUGGCAAACUGGAGUGUGGGAGAGGAUAGUGGAAAUCCAGGUGUAGGAGUGAAAUCCG
rnacentral:rRNA from 1 species